GGGGGUGUCCUGGCUUCGACGGGGGUGGCGACGUCGACCGGUGCAUGCCGAGGGGGCAGCUUUCCUCGUUAAUCCAGCGGCAAAAUCAUAGUUGCCAACGACGACAACUACGCUCUCGCCGCUUAAGGCGUAAGCCCCGAACCCACUUGUGGCCGUGCUCGUGGAUGUAGGGUCAUCAUCACGGCACAGCUGUCGGCGGCGACCCGCCAACCGGCAGUCAACCUAGCGGGUGUGGACGACGGUGUGCUUCGCACGUUGUGUUGCCGGCGUCCGAGAUCGAACAACGGGCUAAGCAUGUAGUACCGGAGACCGAGUGCUCUCGGACGGGGGUUCAACUCCCCCCACCUCCACCA
rnacentral:tmRNA from 1 species